AAUUGAAGAGUUUGAUCAUGGCUCAGAUUGAACGCUGGCGGCAGGCCUAACACAUGCAAGUCGAGCGGUAGCACAGAGAGCUUGCUCUCGGGUGACGAGCGGCGGACGGGUGAGUAAUGUCUGGGAAACUGCCUGAUGGAGGGGGAUAACUACUGGAAACGGUAGCUAAUACCGCAUAACGUCGCAAGACCAAAGUGGGGGACCUUCGGGCCUCAUGCCAUCAGAUGUGCCCAGAUGGGAUUAGCUAGUAGGUGGGGUAAUGGCUCACCUAGGCGACGAUCCCUAGCUGGUCUGAGAGGAUGACCAGCCACACUGGAACUGAGACACGGUCCAGACUCCUACGGGAGGCAGCAGUGGGGAAUAUUGCACAAUGGGCGCAAGCCUGAUGCAGCCAUGCCGCGUGUAUGAAGAAGGCCUUCGGGUUGUAAAGUACUUUCAGCGAGGAGGAAGGCGUUAAGGUUAAUAACCUUGGCGAUUGACGUUACUCGCAGAAGAAGCACCGGCUAACUCCGUGCCAGCAGCCGCGGUAAUACGGAGGGUGCAAGCGUUAAUCGGAAUUACUGGGCGUAAAGCGCACGCAGGCGGUUUGUUAAGUCAGAUGUGAAAUCCCCGGGCUCAACCUGGGAACUGCAUUUGAAACUGGCAAGCUUGAGUCUUGUAGAGGGGGGUAGAAUUCCAGGUGUAGCGGUGAAAUGCGUAGAGAUCUGGAGGAAUACCGGUGGCGAAGGCGGCCCCCUGGACAAAGACUGACGCUCAGGUGCGAAAGCGUGGGGAGCAAACAGGAUUAGAUACCCUGGUAGUCCACGCUGUAAACGAUGUCGACUUGGAGGUUGUUCCCUUGAGGAGUGGCUUCCGGAGCUAACGCGUUAAGUCGACCGCCUGGGGAGUACGGCCGCAAGGUUAAAACUCAAAUGAAUUGACGGGGGCCCGCACAAGCGGUGGAGCAUGUGGUUUAAUUCGAUGCAACGCGAAGAACCUUACCUACUCUUGACAUCCAGAGAACUUAGCAGAGAUGCUUUGGUGCCUUCGGGAACUCUGAGACAGGUGCUGCAUGGCUGUCGUCAGCUCGUGUUGUGAAAUGUUGGGUUAAGUCCCGCAACGAGCGCAACCCUUAUCCUUUGUUGCCAGCGGUCCGGCCGGGAACUCAAAGGAGACUGCCAGUGAUAAACUGGAGGAAGGUGGGGAUGACGUCAAGUCAUCAUGGCCCUUACGAGUAGGGCUACACACGUGCUACAAUGGCAUAUACAAAGAGAAGCGACCUCGCGAGAGCAAGCGGACCUCAUAAAGUAUGUCGUAGUCCGGAUUGGAGUCUGCAACUCGACUCCAUGAAGUCGGAAUCGCUAGUAAUCGUAGAUCAGAAUGCUACGGUGAAUACGUUCCCGGGCCUUGUACACACCGCCCGUCACACCAUGGGAGUGGGUUGCAAAAGAAGUAGGUAGCUUAACCUUCGGGAGGGCGCUUACCACUUUGUGAUUCAUGACUGGGGUGAAGUCGUAACAAGGUAACCGUAGGGGAACCUGCGGUUGGAUCACCUCCUUA
rnacentral:rRNA from 1 species